AGUGAACGCUGGCGGUAGGCCUAACACAUGCAAGUCGAACGGCAGCACAGAGGAGCUUGCUCCUUGGGUGGCGAGUGGCGGACGGGUGAGGAAUACAUCGGAAUCUACUCUGUCGUGGGGGAUAACGUAGGGAAACUUACGCUAAUACCGCAUACGACCUACGGGUGAAAGCAGGGGAUCUUCGGACCUUGCGCGAUUGAAUGAGCCGAUGUCGGAUUAGCUAGUUGGCGGGGAAAAGGCCCACCAAGGCGACGAUCCGUAGCUGGUCUGAGAGGAUGAUCAGCCACACUGGAACUGAGACACGGUCCAGACUCCUACGGGAGGCAGCAGUGGGGAAUAUUGGACAAUGGGCGCAAGCCUGAUCCAGCCAUACCGCGUGGGUGAAGAAGGCCUUCGGGUUGUAAAGCCCUUUUGUUGGGAAAGAAAUCCAUCUGGUUAAUACCCGGGUGGGAUGACGGUACCCAAAGAAUAAGCAUCGGCUAACUUCGUGCCAGCAGCCGCCGUAA
rnacentral:rRNA from 1 species